ensembl:piRNA 21ur-7487 ncRNA
UUUCGUCGUCGAUCCAUACCA